AAGCUGAAGUCGUUGAGAACCUGUGUUACAACAAGUCUGAUUUCCAAGAUUUGUGUUGCUUCAGGAGCUAUGUUGAACCAGGGUGGAUCCACACUGACUGACACUCCCUUGGGUGGCAGCACCGCGCACAGGUUGGUUCAGGUCGGAUGGGUUGCUGAAAGAGCCAGCACAUAUUCCUCCAGUGGCAAUUCUGAUUUUCUCUUGAUCAGUAUUCGGAAGAGAGCACAAAAAAGUGAGGUAAUCUUCAUAACCUGCUUCAAGAUCAUUAGUCAGAAAAUGUCGAAGCACAUAGAUUGUGGUGUGGUCAUUAUAAGGAAAUUACCAGUAGAAAACACAAGUCCAGGGUCCAAGGCUCGAGUAGGAUCAACAAGGCCAGCCCCAAAACCAAACGGCGCGGCUGGGUACAAUGUGUUGGCAGCAAAACCUUCAGCCAUUAUGGGAUCACCGCGGUUGUCAUGCUUGGUAGCUGUGGUUGACAUGGCUGAAGCAAUCAUUGAUGGAGUCCACGUAGGGUGAUUUUGCUUGAUGAGUGCAGCUAUGCCUGCUAUAUGAGGGGUUGCCAUACUCGUUCCAGAUAUCAGUGCAAAAUUGUGACCUGAAACAACGGGGUUUAAAACUGUAGCAUAUUGGCUGACAAAAUCAACAAAAAGAAUACAGCAACUAUGCAUCUGUAGUUACCUGAUAGGAUGGGGUUCAAAAUACUCAUGGGGCUCCAGGCAGCCCAAAUUUGGUGGCCCGGAGCUAAAAUAUCAGGCUUUAGCACGUCAGCAGGACUCCUCUUCUGGUCAAUGUAAUCGGGGCCCCUGGAAGAGAAUCGGCUAACAACAGGCGCUCUCUCCAUGCGGCUACGCCAAAGGACCAAGGGCUGUAGGAGACAACGGAGUAAGGAGCGGGGCCUUGGUUGCCGACAGCCUGAGCCACAAAAACUCCGGCCUUGCGUGCUGAUAGCAUGAAAAUGUCGAAGGCGCUUAGGAACGUGACUCUGUCGUCUGGUGGUGCGUCGGGUCCUAUUGAGAGUGUCAAGAUAUCUACUCCGUCUAAUACGGCCUGCACCUCAUUUCAAUUCUAAUUGUUACCGUUUCACUCACAUAGGUAUGUCCCAAGUAUUGAAACACAGAUGACAUGAGAUUCUUUAUUAUCAUUAAGCUUCUGUCACCUCUUUCAAUGCUCUAGCCAAGUCCUUGAUUUGGCUGACGGCUAUGAAUGGUGUUGAAAUAGGAGCACUACAGAUUCUAUGACAAAAUCCUAGUGGAGUUCUCAAGAAAAAAUCUAGUACAUACAUGCGACAAAAAUAACAACACAUAUUAGAAGGAUAAAAGAUUUUUUUUUUUUUUUUACUAUUUUGUGUUUAUUAUUGUAUUUUUAGAUUGAAAAAAUAAUCUGACCUGAUCAAUAGCUGCCAGUACAUCUGCUAUUGUUCCAACUGUAGGAUAAAUGGCCUUGUACAUGGCGACCCUGUUGAGUUGCACAAUAAAGAAACAAGUUGCAGCCAUUAAUGACAAAUUUGAAAGAAUAUAUAAUAUGCAUCGAGCAUAUAUUAAUUAUUUA